rnacentral:rRNA from 1 species
AGGUUGAACGCUGGCGGCGUGCCUAACACAUGCAAGUCGAGCGGCAGCGCGGGGGCGACCCUGGCGGCGAGUGGCGAACGGGUGAGUAAUGCAUCGGAACGUAUCCUUGAGUGGGGGAUAACGCAGCGAAAGUUGUGCUAAUACCGCAUAAGCUCUGAGGAGGAAAGCGGGGGACCGAAAGGCCUCGCGCAGCAGGAUGAGCCGAUGUCCGAUUAGCUGGUUGGUGGGGUAACGGCCCACCAAGGCGACGAUCGGUAGCUGGGUCUGAGAGGACGACCAGCCACACUGGGACUGAGACACGGCCCAGACUCCUACGGGAGGCAGC